rnacentral:tRNA from 1 species
GGUUCUAUAGUGUAGUGGUUAUCACUCGAGAUUUUGAAUUGGUGGAGUUAUAGACUACGCCAUAUAUCUUCUCGGAACCCAGGUUCGAACCCUGGUAGGACCU